rfam:Phytophthora infestans T30-4 supercont1.62 genomic scaffold, whole genome shotgun sequence.
UCCCAAAUAGUUUAGGCGGUUAGGAUACGUGGCUUUCACCCACGCGACCCGGGUUCGGGUCCCGGUUUGGGAA